rnacentral:rRNA from 1 species
AAACGACUCUCGGCAACGGAUAUCUCGGCUCUCGCAUCGAUGAAGAACGUAGCGAAAUGCGAUACUUGGUGUGAAUUGCAGAAUCCCGUGAACCAUCGAGUUUUUGAACGCAAGUUGCGCCCGAAGCCUUCGGGCCGAGGGCACGUCUGCCUGGGUGUCACGC